rnacentral:rRNA from 1 species
GGCCACUGCUAUCGGAGUCCGACUAAGCCAUGCGAGUCGAUCGGGUAAGACCCGAGGCAGACGGCUCAGUAACACGUGGCUAACCUACCCUCGGGUGGAGGAUAACCUCGGGAAACUGAGGAUAAUCCUCCAUAGAUCUAGGAUGCUGGAAUGCACCUAGAUCGAAAGCUCCGGCGCCCGAGGAUGGGGCUGCGGCCUAUCAGGUUGUAGUGGGGGUAACGGCCCCACUAGCCUACGACGGGUACGGGCUGUGAGAGCAGGAGCCCGGAGAUGGACCCUGAGACAAGGGUCCAGGCCCUACGGGGCGCAGCAGGCGCGAAACCUCCGCAAUGCACGCAAGUGCGACGGGGGGACUCCGAGUGCCUACGCUUUGCGUAGGCUUUUCCUGAGCCUAAAAAGCUCAGGGAAUAAGGGCUGGGCAAGACGGGUGCCAGCCGCCGCGGUAAUACCCGCAGCUCAAGUGGUGGCCGCUUUUAUUGAGCCUAAAGCGUCCGUAGCCGGACCCGUAAAUCCCUGGGUAAAUCCUGGCGCUCAACGUCAGGAAUUCCGGGGAGACUGCGGGUCUUGGGACCGGGAGAGGCUGGAGGUACUCCCGGGGUAGCGGUGAAAUGCUGUAAUCCUGGGGGGACCACCUGUGGCGAAAGCGUCCAGCUUGAACGGCUCCGACGGUGAGGGACGAAGGCCAGGGGAGCGAACCGGAUUAGAUACCCGGGUAGUCCUGGCUGUAAACGCUGCCCGCUUGGUGUUGCCGGUCUUUCGGGGGCCGGCAGUGCCGGAGCGAAGGUGUUAAGCGGGCCGCUUGGGAAGUACGGCCGCAAGGCUGAAACUUAAAGGAAUUGGCGGGAGAGCACUGCAACGGGAGGAGCGUGCGGUUU